rnacentral:rRNA from 1 species
UACGUAGGGCGCAAGCGUUGUCCGGAAUUAUUGGGCGUAAAGAGCUCGUAGGCGGUCUGUCGCGUCUGCCGUGAAAACCCGAGGCUUAACCUCGUGGCUUGCGGUGGAUACGGGCAGACUAGAGGUAGGUAGGGGAGAAUGGAAUUCCCGGUGUAGCGGUGAAAUGCGCAGAUAUCGGGAGGAACACCCGUAGCGAAGGCGGCACUCUGGGCCGGUACUGACGCUGAGGAGCGAAAGCGUGGGGAGCAAACAGG